UCUCUGCAUUCAGCUUCCAAACGCCAACAGUAAACGGUGUGUGGGUGUAGAGCUCCUGUUGUAUCAGAAUCAUUCCUCACAUUGGAGAGAAGCACUACAUGAAGUGAGAUUGACUUCAAGAAUGUCCCUCCUGCUGUUGUGUUUGAGUCUUACUUUUCUACAAAGCUUUGCCUCAUUGGCUGCAGAAAUGGUGAAGUGCAACAAAACAGAGAGCAUUUUUGCUGGAGAAACCGUGACGCUAAACUGCAGUUUAAACUUAGAGGGCUGUAAAGGUGUACGCUAUCACUGGAGCAGCACACGAGGAGAUGUACCAUGUGACAGUGGCUUAGAAUAUAAGUGUGAAUGGGAUCGUCUGACUUAUGUGUCGCUGGCCACCUCAAACGUCACAGGAGAGGAAAAUUUUACCAUUCGCAUACAGACAGACUGUGGUCAUACUAAACCAUUGACUGUUAAAGUACAAGGACCAGUUUACGUGAACAGCACCAGGACCACUGUUGGUAACCCAGAGCGAGCACUCACUGUAUUCCCAGUUUUGGGUAUUUUCAUCUCCCUCUUUGUUUUGGGAAUUUUGUUUUUCCUGAUUGGAACUGAUAAAGGCAGAAAAAUGAUGAAAUGCACCAGGGAGAAAAUGACUCGAGGAGACAACAGUGAUAAUGACACCGCACUAUGGAAUGAAGAGUUGCUGGUUAUCUGACAAAUUCAGGAUCUUCCUGUAGGCGAUAUAUAACCUCUUCCCACCAAAAUUAGCAAGUGUAUACAGGUUUUUUAAACACAGGAAAACCUACUAAAAAUAAGCUAUAGACUCCUGUGUGCUGCAGAGCUGUGUAUGUGGCUCUGCAGCACACAAGCAAGCCUUGAUGUUUGCAUUUACUGGUGUGUCACAUUUGAUGUCACAAACAGGCCAGAAAACAGGUUAUUAAACAGUAUAGAGGCCAGUAACAAUGUUACAGUGAUUAUCUUAUUAUUUUAUAUACAUAGAAAUAUAUUAUUCUUAUUCAUCAUAUUUUUUCAGACCCCAGAUGAUGUAAUCAGGGUUAUCUCAGCUACAAGCAGAGACUGUAUGAAAAUAUGGACUUAACUACCAAGACGUUUUGGUUUCUGGACUCCCAUUUUGACAUCUCAAGCGUGAUAUUAAAUAUAUUUCAUUCUUAAACAUACUUAACUUUGGGCUUUUUAUAAAAUGUGAACUGGUGAGUUAGAAAAAAAUCAUCCCUGUACAGUUUAAAUUACCUGUAAAGACCAAAAAUGUUUUUUGUACUAGACUGUAAAUAUGUUUAUUUCUGUUGUAAAGUUGAGCAUUUUUAUAUGGCGGUCUAUAUUCUGUUUAGGUACCAGCCCCUAGUGGCCAUUAGAGGAAUUGCAUUUUUUUGAUAAUUGCACAGCUUUCACUUUUCGGCCUCAGAGGUUGCCGCUUGGCUAAGAGACUAUUAAAAAAUUAAUGACAACUCUGCGUUACAGGCUUUGGUGUGGCCUUACAAUUUUAUUAAAGUGCAACACAAAACCUUUUAUUUCACUUACUUCAUUCUGCAAUAAAAAGAAGCAAAGUAAAAAUCAAAAGUAAAAGUGUUGUUGGUCUGUUUGAUGUAACUGUAAAAAGAGUGACCGUUCUAGUGUGUACAUGCUUUGUGUGCAGAUUAUGGUGUAGAUAUAAUCAGGCUGUGUACAUGUACCAGUCAUGUGUGAUGGAACAUUUCUUGAAAUAAAGUUUUGUCAGUGA